rnacentral:rRNA from 1 species
UACGAAGGGGGCUAGCGUUGUUCGGAGUCACUGGGCGUAAAGGGCGCGUAGGCGGCCUGGCAAGUCGGGGGUGAAAGCCUGUGGCUCAACCACAGAAUGGCCUUCGAUACUGCUGGGCUUGAGACCGGAAGAGGUCAGUGGAACUGCGAGUGUAGAGGUGAAAUUCGUAGAUAUUCGCAAGAACACCAGUGGCGAAGGCGGCUGACUGGUCCGGUUCUGACGCUGAGGCGCGAAAGCGUGGGGAGCGAACGGG